CUGAACUUCCACCUUCAUGGGCACACAGGUGAAUGAGAAAAAAAUACAUCAAAACAGGUUUCCAUUAGAUAUUGGGAAUUUCUUCCAAGGACAACAGGCAAAAAUCAUUGCAAAGCUCUGAAUGCUUUCGUCUUGAUGGAGCUGCAGCAGACAUCUCACAAUCAUGGCAACCAACCAAUUUAAUCAGGGACAUUGGCCAUUCAACUAGCAACUUCCUGCUUAUAAG